GCGGAUGGACAAGCUUUAUAACAUUGAAACUGCAAACCAGGAAAUUCUGUCAGUUUGCCACUGCCUGCUCUGCUCCAACUGAAAAUACUUUAGCUCAGGUUCAGAAAUCUUCUCAGUGAGCUGCUAUUCAGACUCAGAAAGUAGCUUGGAGAAUACUCCAGACGUUAAGCUUUGUGAGUUUUUGUUUGUUUACAUAGAAAAGUCUCUUAUUAAAUUUCCUUAUUCUUACACUGCAAAGAGACCUAACCUUGAUGGGUCCCAUCUGCAAUGCACCUCCUGAAAAGAGACAGAGCUGUUUAACUGAACUGACCUAUUUGGAGGACGAAUAGACUGAUUUAAAAAGGUGCCCAGGAAGUCCUGGAACUGAGUCCUGGGGCAAGGUUCUGGAAGGUGGGACAAGAAGAUUCCUAGAAAAGAGGAAAACAAUCACUCUAGAACUGUUAUAAGCAUGCUAACCAGGACUUCAGAGAAAUGAAAAAAAGGCUGAGCCUCGAUGGUGAUUCAGAUGGAUCAUGAGGAUCUUUCAACAAAGCUAAGUUCCCGUCUUUUAACGCAGUUAUUCUCAUACUUUUAUACUGAAAUAUCCAGAAUUGCAAACGAGUUAAAUAUGUUUUCUGUGGGGUUCUGUACGAAGAGGAUUUAGAGACUUAUGAACCUAAAAUAACAUAUCAGAAGGACAAAAUUUAUUUGAAGCGGGAGACUUGGCUCAAA
rnacentral:lncRNA from 1 species